rnacentral:rRNA from 1 species
GGGCCCGCACAAGCGGUGGAGCAUGUGGUUCAAUUCGACGCGACGCGAAGAACCUUACCCAGGCUUGACAUGCACUGGACGGGUGUGGAAACACACCUUUCCUUCGGGACCGGUGCACAGGUGCUGCAUGGCUGUCGUCAGCUCGUGUCGUGAGAUGUUGGGUUAAGUCCCGCAACGAGCGCAACCCUUGUCCUUAGUUGCUAACGGAUAAUGCUGAGCACUCUAAGGAGACUGCCGGUGAUAAACCGGAGGAAGGUGGGGAUGACGUCAAGUCCUCAUGGCCCUUAUGCCUGGGGCUACACACGUGCUACAAUGGUCGGUACAAAGGGUUCCGAGACCGCGAGGUGGAGGCAAUCCCAAAAAACCGGCCUCAGUUCGGAUUGCAGUCUGCAACUCGACUGCAUGAAGUCGGAAUCGCUAGUAAUCGCUGAUCAGCAGGCAGCGGUGAAUACGUUCCCGGGCCUU